rnacentral:rRNA from 1 species
UACGUAGGUGACCAGCGUUGUCCGGAUUUACUGGGCGUAAAGAGCGCGCAGGCGGUCGUUCAAGUCGAGUGUGAAAGCCCCCGGCUCAACUGGGGAGGGUCACUCGAUACUGAUCGACUUGAAGGCAGGAGAGGGAAGCGGAAUUCCCGGUGUAGUGGUGAAAUGCGUAGAUAUCGGGAGGAACACCAGUGGCGAAGGCGGCUUCCUGGCCUGUUCUUGACGCUGAGGCGCGAAAGCUAGGGGAGCAAACGG